CUUAGGAGCCUGGGAAAGCACUUCGACGAGAAUAGUUUGGUUUCGUACACAGGAAAAUGUCUAAUCAACAGGAGAAGUAUGAAGCUCAGAAUAUAGUCAAUUCAACAGAAGAGAGUGAUGAUGCUUUUGAUACUGUCACUAUUCCAGUUCCCUCAGAAGAGCCUCAAGAGUCAGAUCAAACUGAAGAGCAUGAAUCUGGAAUAGAACAAUUCAGUGAGAGCCAUGCAAUACAUGUUGAGGAGCAGAGUGACCAAAGCUUUUCAAGCCUGGAACCAGACAAUGAACAACUCAUGGAAGAGGUUAUAUCACCAAGACAAGUUUCAUAUACUCCGCAACAUCAUGAAAAGCAAUAUGCAAUGCAGAGGCCAAAUGAUGAUAGUUUGGCAUUUCUGGAUAAAAUAAAGUCUGUAAAGGAAUCUUUGCAAGAAUCAGUGGAAGAUUCUCUAGCAACAGUAAAAGUUGUACUUAUUCCAGUGGGCCAGGAAAUUGUAAUACCUUUUAAGGUUGAUACCAUUCUUAAAUAUCUUAAGGACCAUUUUUCACACUUAUUAGGUAUCCCACAUUCUGUACUGCAGAUAAGAUACUCAGGAAAAAUUCUUAAAAAUAAUGAGACUCUAGUACAACAUGGAGUUAAGCCACAGGAAAUUGUACAAGUGGAAAUCUUUUCUACAAAUCCAGAUCUGUAUCCAGUCAGAAGAAUAGAUGGAUUAACUGAUGUCUCUCAAAUCAUAACUGUCACUGUCCAAACUGGACUUGAUCAAUACCAGCAGGUACCUGUUGAGAUUGUCAAAUCUGACUUUCACAAACCAUUUCUUGGUGGAUUCAGACAUAAAGUAACAGGAGUAGAGUAUCACAAUGCUGGAACACAAACUGUACCUAAAAGGAUUCCCGAAAGACUCAGUAUAUUUUGUAGGGAUACGCAGACAGUUUUUCAGAAAAAAAAUCUCCAACAAACUACAAAUACAACAUCCACACAGAUGACUAACAUUGGUGUAUAUGUAUCAAAUAUGACUGAUAAACUGGUAACACCAGGAAAGUAUUUUUCAGCAGCAGAAUACCAUGCUCAAAGACUAAAGGCGGUGAUAGUGAUACAGACUUACUACAGGCAAUGGCAUGCUAAAAUCUUCGUAGAGAAUUUAAGAAGACAGAAAAGCUUAAGACUGGAAUGGGAAACACAGCAAGAACUAAGGAAGAUAAGAG
rnacentral:lncRNA from 1 species